AUGGGUAUGUCUCCAUAUAAAAUGGUUUAUGGAAAAGCAUGUCACUUACCUCUCGAACUAGAACAUAAGGCUUAUUGGGCCAUUAAAGAGCUAAACUAUGAUUUCAAACUUGCCGGUGAGAAGAGGUUAUUUGACAUUAGCUCACUUGAUGAAUGGAGAACCCAAACCUAUGAGAAUGCCAAAUUAUUUAAAGAAAAAGUUAAAAGAUGGCAUGACAAAAGGAUACAAAAGCGUGAGUUUAAUGUAGGUGAUUAUGUAUUGUUAUACAACUCUUCUUUAAGAUUUUUUGCAGGAAAACAUCUCUCUAAGUGGGAAGGUCCUUACGUUAUCGAGGAGGUCUAUCGUUCCGGUGCCAUAAAAAUCAACAACUUCGAAGGCACAAAUCCGAAGGUGGUGAAUGGUCAAAGAAUUAAACAUUAUAUCUCAGGUAAUCCUAUAAAUGUUGAAACCAAUGUUAUUGAAACCGUAACCCCGGAGGAAUACAUAAGGGACACCUUCCGGAACGUUUCAGACUCCGAAAAGGAAUAG
rnacentral:rRNA from 1 species